UAAGGAAUAUUGGUCAAUGGACGAAAGUCUGAACCAGCCAUGCCGCGUGAAGGAUGAAGGCCCUCUGGGUUGUAAACUUCUUUUAUCUGGGACGAAAAAAGGGCUUUCUAGCUCACUUGACGGUACCAGAGGAAUAAGCACCGGCUAACUCCGUGCCAGCAGCCGCGGUAAUACGGAGGGUGCAAGCGUUAUCCGGAUUUACUGGGUUUAAAGGGUGCGUAGGUGGGUUGGUAAGUCAGUGGUGAAAUCUCCGGGCUUAACUCGGAAACUGCCAUUGAUACUAUCAAUCUUGAAUUAUCUGGAGGUAAGCGGAAUAUGUCAUGUAGCGGUGAAAUGCUUAGAUAUGACAUAGAACACCCAUUGCGAAGGCAGCUUACUACGGAUACAUUGACACUGAUGCACGAAAGCGUGGGGAUCAAACAGGAUUAGAUACCCGCGUAGUCC
rnacentral:rRNA from 1 species